AGUUCCUUCUCGGUCCUCACCGCUCCCUUCUCCCUCUUCCAUCUCUUUCCCGUGGCGGGCGGCGAGGGCCAGAGCGGCGGCGGGCAAGCGGAGACGCAGGCGUGGUGGUGAUGAUCGCGUGCGCGCCGGCGGGCGGGACGUGGUGGACGACCUCCCGCCGCGGGGGAAGGCAAGGUGCUCGUCAAGGUGUCCGCCGCCGGCGUCAACCGCGCCGACACGGUGCAGCACCAGGGCCGGUACCCCGCUCCGCCCAGCGCGUUCCCUUACUCGCUCGGCCCCAUCCUCGCGCUCGGCCCCAACGUCCCCUCCCGCUGAGCCGUCGGCGACUAGGUUUGUGCGCUGCUCAGCGGUGGCAAGUAUGCAGAGAAGGUGGUGGUGCUAGCGGGGCAGCUGCUCUUGGUGCCGGAGGGGGUGUCUCUGACGGACGCCGCCGGCUUGCUUGAGGUGGCCUGCACCAUUUGGUCGACUGCUUGGCGAAUUGUUCUCAUCCAUUGUGGAUCGAGUGGAAUUGGUACAUUUUACUAUACAGAUUGCAAAGCAACUUGGAAUUAAGGUUUUUGUUACUGCAGGUUUGUUCAGUAGGACAAAAACAGUACGAGUAUAUAAUAGGAUGUUGCAGAGAUUGCUCAAGUAAUGAUGUUAAACUAUGUGUUAAACACCACAGCCACGCCCGAGUCUUUGCUUGCCCGUCGCCGCUCCGACCCACGCCGCCCGCCGCGGGAGAGAGGGAGGAAGGAGAAGGGAGCGGCGAGGAGGGAGAAGGAACAGGAGGGAGGGGAGAGAAAGAGAGAUGAUGGGGAGGGAGAAAGCCCCAUGGUGGGUCCCACAAUUUUUGUUUAAUGUGAAUGACAAAUGGGUCCCACACAUUUUCUAAUUCUAAUGUCAUCUAAGUGUCACGUCAACGCCACAUGGAACGAAGACCAGGUCAAUACCACCACGUAGGUGCCAUGUCAGCGAAACCGCCCUUCAAAACCACCGAGGGAGUUAAAUUGCUCCGGUUUUAAUAGUUGAGGGGUCGAGAUAUCCGGUAUUGUGGUUUAGGGAUAUGAAUCAGAUUCAGUCACUAGUUAAGGGAGUGAAAAUAAACUUAUUCCUUUUUUUAAAAAAAGAGUUGGCUUAGUCGUCAGUCGAGGAGAAUCCAUGCUCCACCCACCGGUGGAACCCCACAAACUUCGGGCUACGAGUUGGGCUUUUACCCCAAACCCACCCAGCCGGUAGGCUGGGCCGUGAGGGCCAAAUCUAACUUCCGUGUUCUC